CCCCUCGGGUGGUGCCUUGUCCGCCUCUCUGGGCGGCCCGUGGUAGCGAUUAAGGGUGUCUGUGUGGAUAAACGUUUUCCUACUGUCCAACCAGACCCUCCCCAAGCGCAAUUUGAGGCUAUUACCAAAACAAGAUACCCUCAGGGCGAGGGAAGCCGUGCACCUGCCUUAGGGCAGUUUUCUGCCCAGCUGUGCUGUGAGGAGAGCGGUGUAGUGCAGUGGAGAUGCCCCAGAGCAGGAGACUGCACGGCUGCCGGCCAUUCCCUGUGGGUUUCCAGUCAAAGCUCGAAUUCCCAUGAAAUUACGGCUGUAUCUGCACUGAGACUGCACCUGGAGCCAUUCUGAAGGAACACCUCAGCUCUCAGCCCCACCAGCAGUUCUGUGCCCUACGAGCAGCUGCAAGGCUCCAACUGCACAUGAACCCCCUUGCCUUUCUGCCAGCUCUACUACCUGAAACAGAAUAUGUUACGUGGAAUGGGAACCUGGACUACGUCCUGCACAAAGCUGCUGAGGACUUAGAGCUGCAUAUGACUUAGAGAUGCUUCCGAGUUUUCAUAUGGACUGAACAGGAUUCGGUGCAGAACCCACAGAUGGGGAUUUACCAGAGGGCUCACAGAAGGUGACCCAGCAGAUACCAGCUGUGAGCCUGCUGCUAUUGUAAGGCCGUACAGCCAAGGAGUGCUGAGUCAGGAGGGAGUGAAAAAUAACUCCAGGUUGUCUGGGCAUCCAGAAGCCCUGAGGAUUUCAGGAGUACCAAAGGCUGAGGAUGUUUGUAGACUAAACAACUGCAGCACUUGCAUCAAAUGAGAAAAGCAGUUUUCCUCUUUCAGAGUAACAGAAGGAUUGUGGAGAACAAAAAUCACUGUAAUGCAAUGGAGCAUUUGGUUCAACAUGAUGCAUCACAUCUAUGAGCAAGGACUGGUUUGUCUUCACCUGGGCUUUGUUUUCUCUUGGACAUGAUGUGGAAGACCUCCUCUUUAUGUGUCCAGUGAAGGGCUUCAUGACAAUAUUUAUUUAAGGUACAUGAGACAAUGUGAAGCAUGAAACCAGAUAUUUGAGAAAAACUACUUGAAGAGUAAGCAUUAACAGAAUUUUGGGGCUGUAAAAAGGUUGUGCAGAAAUUCCUUACAGCCAAGCUUAGAAACAUUAAUUUCUACUUAUGCAAUAAUACAGCUCCUCAGAAAAGUGAAAGUAAAAAAUCACCGCUAAUGAACAGUUUGCUCUGGUAUGUGACAGAGAAUCAGAAUAUGCUGAUAGAAAUAGAAUCAGAUGACCUGGAGAAAUUGGGUCUAAGAAACUCACUUAGCCGUAGAGUGCAGAUGCAGCACAAGUUAAUAUAAUUAGGAACUGCCAAAACCAUUUUCUGCUUUAUUUAAAGUUAUCUGUAUCAGUUGGGUAUUUAAAAUCACAUAGCAGAAUCAUAGAAUGGUUUGGGUUGGAAGGGUCCUUUCAGAUGA